rnacentral:rRNA from 1 species
UUAAGCAUAUCAAUAAGCGGAGGAAAAGAAACCAACAGGGAUUGCCCUAGUAACGGCGAGUGAACAGGCAAGAGCUCAGAUUUGAAAGCCUUUUUGGCAUUGUAUUCUGAAGUCAGUUUCCUGAGUAUCGGUGUUUAAGUCUUCUGGAAAGGAGCGCCAUGGAGGGUGAUAGCCCCGUACGACACCUCACUCAUUGUAGGAUUCUGACGUGGAGUCGAGUUGUUUGGGAAUGCAGCUCAAAAGGGUGGUAUGCUCCAUCUAAAGCUAAAUAUCUGUGAGAGACCGAUAGCGAACAAGUACUGUGAAGGAAAGAUGAAAAGAACUUUGAAAAGAGAGUGAAAAAGUACGUGAAAUUGUUGAAAUGGAAGGAUAUGCCGCUAACAAUGUAGAGCCGUGUUUGGGGGGAAGACAAAAGCUGAAGAAUGUAUCUCUUUUAGGGAAUUAUAACUUCAGUCAAUAUUCCCAUCCGGGCGCGAGGACCUCAGGCUCUACUAAAUGGUGGUCUAUCACCCGUCUUGAAACACGG